GCUCAGCGCCGAUGGUAGUGUGGGGUCUCCCCAUGUGAGAGUAGGACAUCGUCAAGC
rnacentral:rRNA from 1 species